rnacentral:rRNA from 1 species
UACGAAGGGGGCUAGCGUUGCUCGGAAUCACUGGGCGUAAAGGGUGCGUAGGCGGGUCUUUAAGUCAGGGGUGAAAUCCUGGAGCUCAACUCCAGAACUGCCUUUGAUACUGAGGAUCUUGAGUUCGGGAGAGGUGAGUGGAACUGCGAGUGUAGAGGUGAAAUUCGUAGAUAUUCGCAAGAACACCAGUGGCGAAGGCGGCUCACCUGGCCCGAUACUGACGCUGAGGUGCGAAAGCGUGGGGAGCAAACAGGG